AUUGAACGCUGGCGGCAGGCCUAACACAUGCAAGUCGAACGAGUGGCGGACGGGUGAGUAAUGUCUGGGAAACUGCCUGAUGGAGGGGGAUAACUACUGGAAACGGUAGCUAAUACCGCAUACCAUCAGAUGUGCCCAGAUGGGAUUAGCUUGUAGGUGGGGUAAAGGCUCACCAAGGCGACGAUCCCUAGCUGGUCUGAGAGGAUGACCGGCCACACUGGAACGGAGACACGGGCCAGACUCCUACGGGAGGCAGCAGUAGGGAAUAUUGCACAAUGGACGCAAGCCUGAUGGAGCCAUGCCGCGUGUAUGAAGAAGGCUUUCGGGUUGUAAAGUACUUUCAGCGGGGAAGCGUUACCCGCAGAGGAAGCACCGGCUAACUCCGUGCCAGCAGCCGCGGUAAUAC
rnacentral:rRNA from 1 species